rnacentral:rRNA from 1 species
CCUACGGGGGGCUGCAGUGGGGAAUAUUGGACAAUGGGGGGAACCCUGAUCCAGCCAUGCCGCGUGUGUGAAGAAGGCCCUCGGGUUGUAAAGCACUUUCAGUGAGGAAGAACGCCUGAUGGUUAAUACCCAUCAGGAAUGACAUCACUCACAGAAGAAGCACCGGCUAACUCCGUGCCAGCAGCCGCGGUAAUACGGAGGGUGCGAGCGUUAAUCGGAAUUACUGGGCGUAAAGCGCGCGUAGGUGGCUUGAUAAGCCGGUUGUGAAAGCCCCGGGCUCAACCUGGGAACGGCAUCCGGAACUGGCAAGCUAGAGUGCAGUAGAGGAAGGUAGAAUUCCCGGUGUAGCGGUGAAAUGCGUAGAGAUCGGGAGGAAUACCAGUGGCGAAGGCGGCCUUCUGGACUGACACUGACACUGAGGUGCGAAAGCGUGGGUAGCAAACAGGAUUAGAUACCCCAGUAGUC